AAUAAAAUAACGCAAGUGAAUUUGGACUAUAAGUAAGCUUUAGUCUUAAAGGGAGAGGAGCAUUUUGACUCUAACGCGGGGCAAGCUUUUUCUAAAUAAAGGAUUUCUUUGUUUAGUAAAAUAGCAUGAUAACGUGAAGUGAGAUUUAAAUGUGACUUUUUUUUAAAAUGUUUUAAAUAGGUUAUUUUUAAUCUAAUUAUAUAACAUUUUUAUUGAA
rnacentral:misc_RNA from 1 species